GUCUAUGGCCAUGCCACCAUGAACAAGCCCGAUCCCAUCUGAUCUUGGAAGCUAAGCAGGGUCAGAUUUGGUUAGUACUUGGAUGGGAGACCACCUAGGAAGACCAGGUGCUGUAGGCA
rnacentral:rRNA from 1 species